UGGGUUUUGGGUGGGGACACGAGCCAAGUGCCAGGUAUUGAGAGAAAAUAAUUCUACUGUUUUGAGCUGGAAAACAAUUCCAUGUCUAGUGUUCAAAUGAACAGACAGACACCUGCUGGGAAAGAUGGGAUCUACCCAAAGGAGAAAGAGUAACUUCAGGUGGGGAGGAUAGGAAAGAAGAGGGUCAGGGGAUGUUUUGUAGGAAGAAAGGAAAGACAAAAAUUCAAGAUGGUUCUGUAGGGCUCAUUGUUUUAACUGCAAAAGAAUAGGGGAAAUUAAAAGUGAUAAUAAAUACUAAGCAAAGAGAAUUUGAUUGGGAUAACAUCAAAAUUUUGGAUAGUCAUAUUUGGUAGAGGUGACUAGGAUGAGGGCGAAUGUGUUUGACAAAGAAAACAGAGCACUCAUACAGACUGGGAUUGGGCACUAUAACACUGUAAAGGAAUGAACAGAAGGGAAGGAAGUAAUUCUAAGUGGAAAGUAUUCUGUUCAUUUGAGAUGGAGAGGCACUGAGAUGCUUGAGUGAGGACAUCGAGUGGUCACCACCAGAAAGCUAGGGCAUGGACUGGGAAGACAAAGGCCAGGGAAGACAGGGGCCAUCCACAGCAGUGAUUCUUAACCAGGGGUGGGGGGUGGGGGGUUCCACCUGAGGGGGGGGGCGGGCAUGGCCCCCAGGUGGCCUAUCAGAACAUCAGAGGCAGAGCAGUGAUCUGCUCACAAAUACCAACAAUAACACCAUCCAGAAGAUGUUCUGAUAGGCUACUGGGAGGCCAUGCACCCCUGGGUGAGAAUCACUGGUGGAGGGGGGGGGUGGAGAUGCAAGAAAGGAAGAUGAUGGGCUCGAGUGUCCUGAAAGAGAGCUGUCCUGUUAGCAGCAUGUCCGAGAGAAGGUGGGCAUCCUUGUUUGAGGAUGAGUAGGCAGAAAUGAGGGCAGAGGACAAGAAGCAUGUAGAAACAGGAACAUUAAGAGACAGAUGCUCUCUGUGGGCUUUUCAGGAAUAGUGUCAUACAAAAGAGCAGCAAAGGAAGCAAAACAGUUUACAGGGAGCCACGAGUAUGGAGUUCUAGAAGGAACUUACAUGGACUGCUGGGUAUAAUAUGCAGGCUUGUACAAGCAGUGGGUUGCAAAGAUGAAGGAGCCUGUUAGAACAGUGGGUGUGGAGGACAGGUGAAGCAGAGAGUGCAUACCCAGGUCGCCAGACUGAACCAGCACUUCACACAGAACAGUGGAAAGGGCGUCCAGUGGGGGGGGGGGUAUGACUGCUUCACUGGAGUAAAGAGCACAGCAGGAGAAACGAUCAGCUGAAUGCAGGAGACGCGAGAGGAGGUUAGGAGUUUGCAACACAUGAAAGAGCAAGAGAAGAGAGCAUGCAGGGAAGGGCCUGAUCCAAGACAAGUACACCUAGGCUCAGAACAGUGUCAGUUAGCCUGGUCAUGGUGCUGAAAUCAGGAGGCAGAGGCAGGCGGCUCUUUGAGUUCGAGGCCAGCCUGGUCUACAGAGUGAGUUCCAAGACAGCCAGGACUGUACAGAGAAAGCAUGUCUCAAAAAACCAAAAACCAACCAACCAACCAAAAACACCAAAAAACAAAAACAAAAACAAAACCAAGGAGAGAGAGAAAAGUGGGUCAGUUGAGUAGGAACUCUGUUUUUAAAAGGCUGCAAAGAGAGAGAAUGAGUGUGAUGAAUUCCGUAAAGAAAGAGUAUGGCCUGGGUAGUCUGGGUAGUACAAUUAAGGGACAAAGGAAGGGUGGCAAGAGUGGAAAGAACAGCAAGGCUGUAGGGGUUGGAAGCACCUAGGAAAGAUUGGUGAUUAUGUGUCAAAGGGCAAGGCAAGACGAUGAAAGGCCAGUGGAACAGCAGUGACCA